UAAAAAAACGGCAAAACUUUUGCCAGGAUGUUUUCAUUUAUCAGGAACGAAAGUUAGGGGAUCGAAGACCCCUCAGAUACCGUCGUAGUCUUAACCAUAAACUAUGCCGACUAGGGAUCGGACGAUGUUAUUUUUUGACUCGUUCGGCACCUUACGAGAAAUCAAAGUGCUUGGGCUCCAGGGGGAGUAUGGUCGCAAGGCUGAAACUUAAAGAAAUUGACGGAAGGGCACCACCAGGGGUGGAGCCUGCGGCUUAAUUUGACUCAACACGGGGAAACUCACCAGGUCCAGACACAAUGAGGAUUGACAGAUUGAGAGCUCUUUCUUGAUUUUGUGGGUGGUGGUGCAUGGCCGUUCUUAGUUGGUGGAGUGAUUUGUCUGCUUAAUUGCGAUAACGAACGAGACCUUAACCUGCUAAAUAGCCCGUAUUGUUUUGGCAGUACGCUGGCUUCUUAGAGGGACUAUCGGCUCCCAGCCGAUC
rnacentral:rRNA from 1 species